UUUCCGUAGGUGAACCUGCGGAAGGAUCAUUAAUGAGUUGUCAUGGGGUUCGAUGCUGGCAGCCAAUUUUUGGAUGCAUGUGCUUGCCCUAACAAACAUCUUCCAAACACCUGUGCACAUUUUUGAGGGAGUCUUGAGUUGGUUGCCGCUCUUGGGUGAUUUUCUCACAUUCCCUUAAAUCAUUAUACGCUAUUAACAAUGUUGAACGUGCUCUGUGCCGCAAGGCUAUUAAUAUAAUACAACUUUUAACAACGGAUCUCUUGGCUCUC
rnacentral:misc_RNA from 1 species